GGCAAGAUGGCCGAGCGGUCCAAGGCGUGUGACUCAAGCGAAAGCUUGCCUGCUGUAGCGGGUCUUCUCAUCUGAGUAUUCAGGCACGGGUUCGAAUCCCGUUCUUGUCA